rnacentral:rRNA from 2 species
CCGUAGGUGAACCUGCGGAAGGAUCAUUAAA